AUGUCCGGAGCUGCGCCAUGGACGUCUCCUUCGACUAGUGUUACCGGUUCGAGCGGGGACGAACUACAUCGCCGGGAUCGACGCGUCUUCCUCGCCUAUGACCGCCACUGCCCCGCGCUCGAUCUACCUCACCGGAGCUCCUCCGCCACGCCGGCCGCGUCCUCCGCUCCCCCCACACCGAGACCGACGCCGCUGCUACCCAGUACGACUACGGAGUUGAUGACCCCUCCUUCUUGCCAGAGCAAUCAGAUGCCGGGGCCCAGGAGCCAGACGCCACCGUCGACGACGACUCCUACUACUCUGGAGGUGCCUACUACUACGUGCAGGCCGCUGACGACGACCAGGGGUAGUUUAGGAGGAUCCCAGGCAGGAGGCCUGUGCCUCUUUCGAUCUGUAUCCCAGUUUGUGCUAGCCUUCUUAAGGCAAACUUGUUUAACUUAUGUCUGUACUCAGAUAUUGUUGCUUCCGCUGACGCGUCUAUGA
rnacentral:rRNA from 1 species